AUGGCGACAAAACACUUCCGGCCCCUGCCACCGGCCCCGUUCAUUUAUUAACUGUCAACUUCCGGUUGAUCCUUCUUUUCGGCAACGGCUACAAACUCGCCAUCAUGCCACUCGCAAAGGACCUGUUGCACCCAACCUCCGAGGAGGAGAAGAGGAGUCACAAGAAGAAACGUCUUGUACAGAGCCCUAACUCGUAUUUUAUGGAUGUCAAAUGUCCAGGAUGCUAUAAGAUCACGACAGUGUUCAGUCACGCCCAGACAGUCGUCCUGUGUGUCGGAUGCUCCACAGUCCUGUGUCAACCUACAGGGGGUAAAGCACGCCUCACAGAAGGAUGCUCAUUCAGGAGAAAACAGCACUAGACUCUCAGCAAUGGAGCUUGUUGGACGAGAGACCCAAGGGAGGAGAGACGGGAUUGACCCCACAGUGACCCUGCUCAGGAAGUGACGACAUGAGAGGAAAAGUGGAGAUGAAACUGAAGAGAAAAGAUGGUGUUGAGCUCUGCUUUGUGUACGUAGAGAGAACGUCCCCUGGCAUGAUGACAUCACUGUAACACCACUCCACUGUAACACCGGUCUUUCUCACACUUCUUAAUAAAGUUUAGCUUUUUUGUUAAAGAA